GCACACACUCACAUGCUCACAUACUGGCUCUUACACAUGCACACACUCACAUACUGGCUCUUACACACGCACACCCACAUACUGGCUCUUACACACGCACACACUCACAUUCUGGCUCUUACACACGCACACUCACAUUCUGGCUCUUACACACGCACUCAUGCUGGGUGCUCAUAUAUACACUUACUGUUUCUUAUGAUUGCUCCACACAAGUCCCACCAGGUGGUGCUGCCCUUCUCUGGCUCACAGCACUCGG